GCCGGGCGUGGUGGCUCACGCCUGUAAUCCCAGCAAUCUGGGAGGCUGAGGUGGGUGGAUCACCUGAGGUCAGGAGUUCGAGACCAGCCUGGCCAACAUGGUGAACGUUCAUUUCUA
ensembl:misc_RNA Metazoa_SRP Metazoan signal recognition particle RNA